ACCCCCUGUCAAUGGGUAAAGAGACACCUUGUUGGUGGUGGUGUCCUUAUAUCAGUCAGGGCCAUGGCAGAUGACAGUUCUUCAUCCUAACUCAAUGCUUGGCUUGGUGAUCAAAGCUGUUUUAUGCCUGGGACUCACAA